ACAAAAAGCGGACAGGUUUCCACAAGAGCCUAACAUACUUGUUUCCUCAGGGUCCAGCUGAAUGAGGCCCAGGAUGAAAUCCUGAAGAAGAAAGAACUGCUGGAGGACCUGCAGCCCGACAACACUCAGAACUCCUUCAAGGUGGAUGAGCUCAUGGCCGCGCUGAAAAAGAAGGACGAAGACAUGAGGGCCAUGGAAGAAAGGUACAAAAUGUACCUGGAGAAAGCUCGCAAUGUGAUCCAAGCUCUGGAUCCCAAACUGAACCCUGCCACCACUGAGAUCCAAGCUCUGAGGAACCAGCUGGCUGACAGAGACAAGCAGAUCCUCAACCUGGAGGUAAUUCCGCUCCCAUGUUGUUGUUGUUUUUUUUUCCCUCGAAGGGCCGUUGAAACCACACCCAUUUUCAAUUGUCUCAUCGCCUUA